rnacentral:rRNA from 1 species
UACAGAGGUCUCAAGCGUUGUUCGGAUUCAUUGGGCGUAAAGGGUGCGUAGGCGGCGCGGUAAGUCGGGUGUGAAAUCUCGGGGCUUAACUCCAAAACUGCAUUCGAUACUACCGUGCUUGAGGACUGGAGAGGAGACUGGAAUUUACGGUGUAGCGGUGAAAUGCGUAGAUAUCGUAAGGAAGACCAGUGGCGAAGGCGGGUCUCUGGACAGUUCCUGACGCUGAGGCACGAAGGCCAGGGGAGCAAACGGG